UUGGAGGCUUUACUUGCCGCCCACUUCGCUUUGAGCCCUGACUGAAAUUGAGACUUUAUUUGUCCUCCUAGAAAGUUUGUUCCUGGGCAGGGCUGACAUGCCUAUUUAGUACUAGCGUUUCAAAUUCGGACUGGAGUUGGGGAGGGGCCGUUGUAGAUGGCAAUGGCAGAAACUGCUAGGUCUGCGACAUCUUGGGCUCUUACCUUUUUUCCCAGGCACAAAACCACCCUGCAUAAAGGAUAUAGUAACCAGUGUUCCUUGCAGCUAGCUGUGCAUCCUUUUGUGAAUCUUGAGGCACUUCACCACACGAGAAAAGUAAUUUGGAAGUUCAAACUCAAGCCAUGUGAAAUAUAACCUGCCCGAGGGUGACCUAGUUGAGAUUGGACACCCCAAGAUUUCCUGUAACCUUAAAAGCAAGAAACUGGAAAAGAAAAUAGCCAUUUUAAAUGCUAUAAACACUUUAUAGCAACCCAAGAAGUGAAGGCAUGAAAUUUACAUUUGGUCAUCUCAAGCCUUUUGAGUUAUGCAAAUGUAAAACAAAUUAUCAUCAAUGGUUCUUAGGGAAAACCUUGAAGGCACCUGAAUAUACAUGUUUUAUCUUGAGACAAACACUUCUGUUUAGCAAUGGCAAUUGGGGGCAUGCUUUAGAAGAGCUAGUUUUCUAAAGACUUUGGGCUUUUGGGAGAGGAAUAUUUUUUGUUUGACUUUAGAUUUCAUUAUGCUUGUAUAUUAUUGCUUAUUCUUGAGAUGUGUGUAUGUGUAUGUUAUGUAUGUGUAUUUGUGAUGUUCAAGCACUUGCUCAGAGAAGAUCAGGAGCUGAGGCCGAGUCACGGAUGUCUUAGUCUGAGUUAUUCCAAAGCAGAGCCUUAGAUGAGGUUGUUAUAUGAGUGAUUUAUUCAGGAAUGAACAGGGAAGAAAGGGGAAUCAAUAUGCAUAUGGGCUAUUGAAUUAACCAUUGCAAGGGGUGGUAUUUGCUCAAUCCUCAAGAUUUUCUGAGAAGCUUUAUGGAAUGCUGUCAGAACCCCCUUCCUGAGGAAUGGAAGAUGAAAGCAUAUAUCUGCCAGCCUUUGAAUUCUGUUGUCAAGCAUUGCCCCACCAAGCAUCAGUUCUCCAGUGCUUUUCAUUUGAGCAUGCAUCAGUGGGUGGUGGCUCUUGUGGGAGUUUCUAGAUGCACAGAGAAGCCCUGAGGCAAAAGUGAGAGGUGGAGGGUACUGGGGUACAGUCCAAGACAAGGCUCUGAUAAAAGCCUUAACUUGUGCUAAGCCAGUAGAUGCCUGAUAGAAGCUGGUUGCUGUAGCAAUGAUUAGACUAAGAAUAAGAGUGUAAGGCCAAGAGUAUUCAAAGCAGUGCACAAGAGAUAUCCAAUACACUGGGCUAGAAGGAUGUGAGACCUGAUCAUCAUCACAGUGGAGGUGGUGUGAUAGAGACUGUGGAAAGGAUCAGGGUUUGGUGUGGCUCAUCUUAGGUUGCAACCUGAGUGGCCCACGCAUACUGUUAUUCAAGACCGAAUGACCCAGAUAUUGUAAAGUAUACUGAUACCAGUCUGUUGAGUUCUGAUGGAAUGUACCCUAGCAGAUGGCAAUGUGGUUUCUCCAAGGAAAUGAACAUUCCUACCCUUUGCUGAUCACCAACUGAAGAAACAUAUAUCAAGCUUUCAGGGAGGACUUGAAGGCCCACUUCAUUGGCUUGUGUUUAGAUGAUAACCCCCAAACUGUGGAAUUCAUAGCUUGGUAAAAAUCUCUCCCAAGAAAAUCUCCUCACAUAUCCUUAUUCCUCCUCACUCUCAAUCUUUUUUAAUCCUACAGUGGCAUUGGGACUUUAAGGGAUGCCUAGCAUAUUCAUAGCUAUUUCCUUUUGUAAGUUCUGCAUAAAGUGGUCUGGAGCCUUACUCUGGAAUAUCACCUCUUUCAUAUUUUGGAACUCUGUCAAGACUUCAUUUUUAUUACCUCAUUAGAGUGUGGAUCAUCCUAACUAAAAAUGUGAGCUUUGUGAAAGCACACAUCCCAUCUGUCUGGUUCACUGUUGUUCAAUGUCUGCAUCAUCUAUCGCUGUUCAUCAAUGCUAGCACAGCAACUGCAUCAUGGAAGACACUCACCAAUACUUGCUGCAGAAUUAAUGGGUUCACUAUUUAUUCGGAGCCCCCAAUUUGCCAUUUGUUACUUGUUGUGAAAAUCAAAUGGGAUCUUUGUGAAAAUACUUUGUAAACUAUAAAGUUCUAUAAAUCUUAGCAUCCAAAUGAGGGAGACACUGUUACUUCCCCCUUUUUACAGAUAAGAAAAGUUUAAAUGGCUUAAAAAAAGAAAGUAUAAAGAGUUUAAAUGAUUUGUCAAGGGCCACACAGGCAGUAAGUUGGCCAAAAUCAGACUACAACCCAGGCCAGUUGUGAUUGUGAAGACCAGAGACAAGAAACUAUAAGUCUGUUUUUACCCAUGUUUUGUAAUGGGGAAAACCAGAAGAGAGAGGCUGGUCCUAAGAAUUGAGAUCAACUAGGAUAGGCUAGGAAGGAGGAUUGGCCUUGGCUUCUCUUCUAGAAUCUUAGAAAAUUAGGACUAAGGGCCAUCAGCCCAUCUAUUUGGUAAUAAUCAUAACAAUCAUAGUCAACAUUUAUUGAAUGUUUUCUGUGUCAGGCACUAUGCCAAGCAUGCCAAGCACUUUACAUGAACUAACUUCUUUUAUCCUUGUAGCUCUAGGAAGUAUAUAUUGGUAAUCAGAUCAGAAAACUAAAGCACAGAAAGGUUAGGACACUUGCUGAAGGUCACACAGUUGUGUGCUGGAACUGGGUUUGGAAUUCAGAAUCAGAGCUCCUAACUAAAUGCUAUAAUGCAUAGGCCCUGGAGCUUGACAUGAGAUUAGCGAUAAGGUCCUGACACUUAUCUGCUAUAUGAGUUUGAGUAAAUUACUUAAUCUCUCCAAACCUCAGCCCCCUUAUAUGUAAAAUGGUAGUGGUAAUAAGCAGUCACAAGGUGGUUGUAAGGAUAAAUUAGAUGAUUCUUGUGGAGACUAUAACACAGUGGCAUACCAAGUCCUGAGCAAAUGUUUCCCCCACCUCAUCAUCACCCCUAACCAAAUAACUCAAGCAGUGUGGGUACUUUUAACAAUGAUGAUUUAUUGAAAGAAGUGACUCUUUUUCCUUCCCCACCACAUGUAAUCUCCAUCCACAGGUCCCCAUUUUCAUCUGUCUUCCAGGGCAAGGAGUUCCAGUCACAUCUUUGAAGAUAGGAAGUGAUGAGAAAUUAUUAGAGAAGGAUGGCCCUUAAGAUAAAUCUUCAUCUGAAAAAUGGACAAAAAAAAAUUAUGCAUGAGACCUGCUGUUUUUGUGACCUAGGGUCGCAGACUGCAAUUGAGAGGUGACAGUUCCCAGUUCUGGGAAUCAAUAAGCACCUGAAAAGAGCGAGCAAGGCUAAAAGCAUCCCAAGGAUUGUGGGUGGAUUGGACAAAUAGUAACUUCUGAACACAAAUGGCUUACUUCUGAAGUUUAUGUUGAUUCUGUUGUGUUAGUUAUUACGUUAAUUAAUAAAUACAACCUGAUUUAUAAUCAA